UUAUGUGCUUCCUCCGGUAUAUAUAUAUACAUACACACAUACAAAAUUUGGGGGUUUAAUUCACAGGUGAUCUAAAUGAUAUGUGUGUGUGUGUGUGUAUGUGUAAAUACAAACAUAUCAAACCACAUGUACGCAUAUGCACGCACUUGCACACACAUACACACACACACACUCAUACACACUAGCAUGGAAAAAACAGAUGUAAUGCAAAUAAACAAGCGUAUACAUGUAUUCAUCUGUUAUAAACUGGUUGAGAAGCAGAAACAACUGAUGAAGAGACAACUUUUUUGGGGUAUUAUCUUAUUCUUUCCAAUAAUUUAAUAUUGAAUUAUUUAUGCAAAUCAAAGGCAUGUGUAUUAUUAGAGAAACCUGUUGAGUUAUUUAAUGUAAAUCUAUUUAUUCUGGACACACACACACACACAUAUUUUUCUCCAUUUGUCUGUCUGUCUCCGUCCCCGCCUCUCCCUUUUUCUACUACCUCUACCUCUUAACUACCUCCUACCUUCUCUAUUUUAUUGUUGAGUGCAUCAUAAUUUAUAUAUCUCAUUCACAUUUACUUCAUUUGACAUAAAGAAUUAACAUAAAAAUCUCAGCCGCUAUUUCUGACUGUUAUAACUAAAUGUGGAGACGAAUUAAUUAAAUGGGUCAAAUUUCAAUUAGUAUGUUAUUAGUUAUCCCCAGCAACAUUUAGUUACUUAAAAAAACAAAAAAAAAAAGGAAAAAAAGAAAGGAGGAUUAACACUGACUGUCUUAUUAAAUUUAAUGUUAAUUUCCGUAAAGAUGUUGAUUAUCCAUCCAAAAAUAGGAUUGACAUUUUCUGCUUCUCCAACACUUUUUUGGCAUCUCUUGUAGCUAUGGUUUACAUAUCCACCACUAAAAUUAAUUCUUGCUCUGUGAACAGAUAUUUGAUGGAGGAAUAUUACCUUGGCUGAAAGCAUGUAAGGGCUAGUGACAGGAAAACCAUCUGACCAUAGAAAACCUACAUUAACAAAAUUCCAUCCAACAUUAGCAACCAUGGAAAAUUUGUCAUUCAUUUCCAAUAUUCUGCAGAAACAUGUCUGCCCAAGGGGAUAUAUUACCCUGCUUAGAAACAGGUAAGGUUUGGUGACAAGACGGGCAUCCAACCAGAGAAAAAGGGAAAGUCUGCCCUAACAAACUCAAUCCAACCCAUGCAAACUUAGAUAAGUGGAUAAUAAUAAUGAACAAUUAAUUACACUUUUCAUUCAACAUAAAUUCAGUGAAUAUGUUCAUUUAAAAUAGUUUCUUUGUUUUCUGCAUUAUUAUAAUUAGAUUGUACUCAUUAUAACUGAAAUUAUUAUAAUUAUUAUAAUAAUGCAGAAGAAAGUAAAUGCUGGGUUAUGGAUUGGCAAAAUCAUAAGAGAAUCUGACAAAAUACCUUGCAGUAAUUCUUUCUGGCUCUCUACACUCUGAGUUCAAAUCCUACCAAAGUCAACUUAGCCUUUUGUUUCUCUGGGGUAGUACCAGUCAAGAAAUGGGGCUGAUGGUAUUGAAUAACACCUUCUCCUUGGGAUUACCACCAUUGUGCCUAAAUUAGAAACAGUUACUAUAACUAGAUUUAACCGUUUUGAUACCAACUCACUGAGACCGUUCUAAAUUAAAACUUUCCUUCAAAUUUUGGCACAAGACCAGUAAUUUUAAAGGAGUGGGUAAGUUGAUUACAUUGACCCUGCAGUGUGCAAUUGGUACUUAUUUUAUUGACCCUGAAAAGACAAAAGGCAAAGUCAACCUCAGAAGAAUUUGAACUCAGGAUGCAAAAAGCUAAAGGAAAUGCCUUUUGUCUGACACAGUAACAAUUCUACCAACUUACCAUCUUAAGCACCAUUUAAGUCACUUUUUAUUAAAUUCUUCAUUAAUAUAUAAUUGCCAACCAAGUGUGGUGUCCUAUACAGGACAGUGCUACUGAUGUUUAUAGCCCCAGGAAGUCAUCUCUUCCAGAUGGCUAACAACACACAUUCUGUGUCCGAUUAGUAUUUGCAGACACACUAAUCGGACACAGAAUGCAUAUCGUUAGCCAGAUGGAAGAGCUGACUUCCUAGGGCUAUAAACGUCAGUAGCACUGUCCUGUAUAGGACACCACACUUGGUUGGCAAUCACAUGUUAUGAUUCUGUACUGCUACUGUUUAUAUUUCGCUCAGGAAUUUAUUAUAACAUAUUUCUCUAAAUUCUUCAUUAUUUUCAAAAUAAAUUAAAACAAACAUAACUGUGGCAUAUGGUUAUUGCAGUACUUAGGGUGCUGCCACACCCAAUGCCACCAAAUUUCAAGCAGGGGUAUAACAAAAGUUUUCCAUUCAAAUUUGUGAUUAAUUCAAUGAGUAAGGUUAAUGAUUAUAAUGAGUUUGCCAUUUUCGAUGGGUGUGCAGUGCACACCUAGCAUACCGGAAUAUACACCCCUGAAACAUAAUGUAUGUUAAUGGAAAUAAGGUAAAAAGCAGGUCGAUCAUAUAAGCCCUGUAUUUAUUAAUCUUCAUAAUUUUUUUUUUUAAUUUCUCUGUAGUUUUUAUGUUUACAGUGUUUUAGUGUUCUGAACAUUAUAACAGCUGCUUUGAAACUCACCAGCAAAGAGGACAACUAUAUUACCAUUCUGAACAUUACUAUAUAACAGAAGCUGGAUAAAUACCAUUUUUUUUCUUUUUUUUUGUCUUGUUCGAACUGUUCUUUAAAAAAAGAAAAAGAAAAGGAAUCAAACAACACUGAACCAACUCAAAUAUUGUAUUGCAUUGUUUUUCUUUAUUUUGUUUAUUUUCUGCUUUUUUUUUCUUCUUGAAUCGCUUCUCUACACAACUCAAUUGAAUUUAUUGCCAAGAUUCCACAGCUCUCAGAUAUGAAGAACUCUAUAUAACAGAGCUCAAUGGAAUGUAUUACCAAUAUUCCAAGAAUCUUAGAUAUGAAGUAUCUGUCCAUUCAAAAAAAAAAACAAAAAAAAAAACAGGAAAUCCAAAAUAUUUCAAAGAACAAUAUUAAAGAAAAAAACCAACAAAA